ensembl:lncRNA SLC41A3-AS1 SLC41A3 antisense RNA 1
GGAGCCGUGCCCUGAGCAGGCCAGGAAGGAGGAGACAGGGCCGCUGAAUGCACACCGCAGCGGUGUGGGGAGCGGCCUCAGACACCUAAGGAGUUUGACUCUUCCACAAUAAUUUGGCACCCAGCGUGGGGCCUCAGAGAAGACUCAGGACCCCAAAGGAGUUGCCUGAACUCGGAGCGAAGAUACCAGUGGGGCCCAUUGAAGCCUCCCAGACUUCUAGCUUCUCCCCCGAUGGAACUGGUUAAGUUCUCCUGAGCCCCAGAUCGCCCUUUGGUUGACAGUCCUUCGUUUAGUGUGAGCUGGUUUUUCUCCUAGGAAGUUGUUGUUUAAGGAUUCUAAUUCUAGUUCAGAGACACAUUCUAAAGGGUUUUCUUUAUUGCUUUUUCUCCCAAAAUUAAUCUUGAUUCGGCUUGUCUGCGCAUUUGUGUGAGGAAUUGAACUGUUGUUUUCAUAGGUAAAUGAGAGACUGAGUUUUCUCAACUCCAAAGAGAAAGGCAUUUGCUCCUCCCAGCCAAAACGUGCUCCUGGGUGACUGGGGGCCUUGUGGGAGUGUCUGGGGGGGGGUUGACAUCCUGUGACAUGCAGCAGCCCUAUGGGGAAAUCCCCAACAAAAAUUAAUUUUAAAAAUGGCUUGUCCAGGAAUGCAUAUAAGGACUGAUC